AUGAACGCUGGCGGCGUGCCUCAUACAUGCAAGUCGAGCGAACGGACGAGAAGCUUGCUUCUCUGAUGUUAGCGGCGGACGGGUGAGUAACACGUGGAUAACCUACCUAUAAGACUGGGAUAACUUCGGGAAACCGGAGCUAAUACCGGAUAAUAUUUUGAACCGCAUGGUUCAAAAGUGAAAGACGGUCUUGCUGUCACUUAUAGAUGGAUCCGCGCUGCAUUAGCUAGUUGGUAAGGUAACGGCUUACCAAGGCAACGAUGCAUAGCCGACCUGAGAGGGUGAUCGGCCACACUGGAACUGAGACACGGUCCAGACUCCUACGGGAGGCAGCAGUAGGGAAUCUUCCGCAAUGGGCGAAAGCCUGACGGAGCAACGCCGCGUGAGUGAUGAAGGUCUUCGGAUCGUAAAACUCUGUUAUUAGGGAAGAACAUAUGUGUAAGUAACUGUACACAUCUUGACGGUACCUAAUCAGAAAGCCACGGCUAACUACGUG
rnacentral:rRNA from 1 species